rnacentral:rRNA from 1 species
AGAACGAACGCUGGCGGCGUGGAUAAGACAUGCAAGUCGAACGCUGAUUUCAGGGUAGCAAUAUUCUGGAGUUGGAGUGGCGCAAGGGUGCGUAACACGUGGGUAAUUUGCCGUGAAGCCCGGAAUAACUCGCUGAAAGGCGAGCUAAUACCGGAUGUGAUUUUUGGAGGGCAUCCUCUGGAACUCAAAGCUGGGGACCGUAAGGCCUGGCACUUCUCGAUAAGCCCGCGGCCUAUCAGCUAGUUGGUGAGGUAAUGGCUCACCAAGGCUAAGACGGGUAGCUGGUCUGAGAGGACGACCAGCCACACUGGAACUGAGACACGGUCCAGACACCUACGGGUGGCAGCAGUCGAGAAUUUUCCACAAGUGGGACGAAAGCCUGAUGGAGCGACGGCCGCGGUAGGGGAGUGAAGUGGUCGUUCCGGACCCCGUAAACCCCGUGUACCUAUUUCGACGAAACC